ensembl:lncRNA
AUGACGUCAGUUCCGGUAAGGAAACAUAGUGAGCAUCGAAGCUCCCUGGUUUUUGCGGUGCAUUGUGAGAUUUUUCAGGGAGCGAACGUUCCAGUGUUCUGAAAGGAUUUUGUGAGUGAGACGGCCCUUAAAAUGGCCGACUCCCUUAUCAGCGCGCUGAUUGAGACGCACCCAUGGUGAAGCGGUUGUGCAGAUCUGAAAAAGUUAACAUUGUGCGUAGUGCAGUACCAUCAUUAAAACUGGGGGCAGUAUAGGAUGACAUGCCGUGAUGUACGUAACGUAACGUACCAAACAAACUACAGCUGUGUCUCAUACGUAUGCACUAUUUAGACAGGUUUGUUUUUGCUUCCAUAUUUUCUCCCCAGUUUGGUCACCUGCUAACUCCCACCCACCAGCACUCCCCAUCACACAACAGCUACCAACCUGGGAGUUAAAUACGGUUAAAUAUCAGCAGCAAAUACCAGCAACGUUGCGGUGAGUAAAUAUAAAAAAAUUAAAUAAAAAACUUAACAUUUAUAAUAAAAUUAUGUCAUUUUAUUUCCACAAUUUUGGAGCGAUUUAUGUUGAUACUAGCGCAACGUAGCACUCCGUCUGUGGCUGUAUUAAAUUAGAGACUCGUUAAUAUUUAAAUUCAUUGGAAUAUUUGAUGUUUUAAAUAAUCGUACUUUGAAUUGGACCACCCUAAUACACACAUUAUGGAAAGAUGAUUCCGUGAGGCGACAAUAUAAUUACGGCAGCUGUAAUGAAAUGUUCUGAAGGACCCAUAUUACCUAGCAGCAGAUACGAUCUCGAUCUCUCUCUCUCGCUCUCUCUACACACACACACAAACACACAGCUGUUUUUACAAGGAUGCUCUGCUUCUGACGCAGGACAUUGGCGCUAGUGUAUGCAUGCUGUCAGCAGACCGAACUCUGAGGGGAACGCAGUGGAACAGCCUUCAAUCUGUGUGUGUUUUAAUGACCUGGUGGAGACGUGUAGCGUCACUGGCUUCACAGAAAUUUGUGCACAGAGUGAGAAACAGGACAGACAUUUUUUUGAGUGACAGCCGGACUGCAGAGACCGCCGACAUCAUUUCCUCAGCCUUACAUGACAGUGCAGAAAUACACUUGUCUAAUCAAAGCACUCUAGCUUGCAAUGAGCACGGAUCCAGAGAGUCUAUUCAAAACAAAACCGCUUUCAUUUAAGGUACAAAGUAUAUGAGAAUAUUUAUGAAGAAUGAGUAUACCAAUUCACAAACACAUUCAUAUAGGUUAAGUUUUUUUAAUUAGGGGUUCAAGCAGGAAGUGCUGAAAUUCUAUUGUUUUUAUAAUGAUGGUAUUAUUAUUGUUAUUAUUAUUAUCAUCAUCAUUAUUAAUAUUAUUAUUAUUCUGCCCUAAAUCCUUCAAAUGGUUUGAAGUGGGCGUGGCCACUUUACAUUAAUAGCUAUAAACUCAUGAAGGGAAUGAGAUAUUUUCACCAGACUUGGGACUUGUCUAAGCGCUCAGUUUGAAGACAGAUAUAAAAAGAAAUUACUGAGCGUGACCAGUUGAUGGUGCUGUAACGGGACAAAACAUGAAAUUGGUGGUAAAUAUGGAAACAUUGGUCCAAUCGACUUGAAAUCUUGGACGCAGUGUCAUUGUCCAAGCUCCCAUCAGGGUCUACGAGGAAAGUUAUGAAUCUUGAAAAACACGGCCGCUAUCGGCCAAUCAAUGUUCAGCAACUGUCAGACCAGCAGACUGCCGCUCAUGGUGUCCCGCCUAUGUUGUAAGUAAAAUAUAAAACGUUAUUUCUUAGCAAGCGUACGUGCUCUCACAACUGUUCAUAAUGUAGCACAGAAAGAAUAACAGCUAGUCUUUGGCACAGAUUCAUAUCAGAAGGGACCGUUUACUCCAACGCUGUAAACACCGCUAGAACACGAUUAAAGUUUAAAACAGAGACCACCUGAUUACCCUUCAACCUUUAGCAUCAAGUUUGAGAUGAUACUUUUAACGACACUAAACUUCUGACUUCCUUGUAGAAUAAGGCUCAGGAACACUGGUUUAUCAUGCAAAAGAGUGUGGAGUAUUUCAGGAAGUGCUUCUAAAAAGCAGUGUGAUGCAGCAGAAGACGUUGUGGCAUCUUGUGACUGUGUGAGGAAGUAUGAAAGGCUUCUAUGUGGAGCAUCCAGGCUCCUGGGAUUACUGUAGGCAACAGAGGAUGCAGUCAUCGUCAUACUAGUUUCCAGAUUUAUCACCUACAAGAUAGAAGCGCUAACAAUCAGAGCUUUAGAUGAACUAUCUAUAAGAACUAUAGUUCUCUUAUGACUGCAAAUCUCGCCAUUUCAGAACAUACACAUUACCUGAAUACUAUCCUAAAUAUUACUCUGUGUAUUGAGUGAAGGUUUCAUCACAUUCUUAAUAUUUAAACAGAACGGAUUUCGUAGAGGAGAAACUCAGGUCUCUGUCACGACCAAUCAGGACAAGGAGGCAGAAAGCUCCGCCUCUUUUGCUAGCCUUCAGUGUCAAUUUAAUUUUUAAUUUUUUUUUUAUGGGUGUGGCUUCUGACAAAACACUAAACUGGAUGUAAAUUUACAUUUCAAACACUUCAGUUCACUUUAAUUACCAACUCAAUCUUCUCUCUACUUCCGCUGCUCAUUAAUGCUGCGUCCUGUAGACCUCCUGUGCCGACUACAGACGUUUCUAAGACAUUUCUGCUUUUCUCCUUCUUAUUUAUUGACUUCAGUGUUACUGUCCUGAUGUUGUUUCGCUGUACUGAUAUGUCAUGGUUAUCAUUUCAUCAUCAGCUGCCGAAGGUUAAACAGUCACCUUUCCUGGUAAUGUACUGGCUUCUCUUCACACAAUUCCUUGCACUACCUGUGUGUUCAAAUCCUCCUGGGAAGCUCGUAUUUACGAGACAUAAUUACCAAGUCAGGUCACUUUGGUCAGAACAAGAUGGCGGCGUACCUUCUCUUAGUUAACUACAGAAAAUACAGCAAGGUUUUUUUUUUUUAAAACUCUACUUCUAGGAAAUGAACAACGAAUGCACCUGAGGUGUGUUUAGCUUUUAAAAAAUAUUUUGAAUCAAUUCAUGAAGCCACUGUAAACUUUACCGCUACGUAUUAUAUUGUAAUUGUACAGUGCAGGCUAUUAACGUUCAGCGAAUGUACCGUCAACUGCAGACGCUGCAGCCAUUGAUCCCACUGUGUUUUCUUACUGACACGCCCCCAAUUAGGAAACUCGGCGCUCAAAGAAAAUCCAAAAAGAGCUUCCCACUUCUAAUGAUAACUUUGUGGUGGCUUUCAUGUGCGUUCAACUCAUAAAUACGAUCUUUCCGACAAGACUCGAGCGCACCGUUAUAAGUUUCAGCCGUGGCAAUGGCUGUGGAUUUUUCCUGGACUUCCUUGGAUUUAGACUCUGGUAUGAAUCGUCUUCCUGAUGUAUUACCUUAAAAUUCGCGUGUAUAUGUGCAUGAGUAAAAUAACUGUUGACACACACACAUAUACACACACAUAAGGUAGCAGGUGGUUGCUUCAAGUGCUACUGGAGGCAAUUAAACACAUAAGCAGCAUGGAAGAGAGAGAAAAAUUGUGUUGCCUGCUGUGUGUGAGUGUGUGUGCUCUAAAUCGUCUCUGUCUGUGUGAAAAUCACCAGCAGCAGGCUUCACCCCUCUGCAUUCUGAGCAGCUGAGAAUGCCGCUCUUCCCCCUGAAGGCCUGCGACACACCGUCGUACUCCAGUUGGUCCAUGACCUUUGACCCUGGGAGGCAGCUGGCUGAGGAUUGUGUACCUCAGAACAGAAGAUGGCUUUGUGUUGUCAUGAGUUACAAUUAGCAACAGUUCUGUCAGGGGUCAGUGCUGUAAUAAUAAUGAUGAAUGUGUUAACCCCAUUAACACCAGGUGAUUCGAAUAACAGAUAGAUUAAUGUGUUGGGAGCCACACAAGGUUUAGUGAACAGUCACAGUGAAGGAGGUGUGGCCUCUGUUCCUGUCUCAUUGAAAGAGGCGUGGCCUCUGUGCGGUCAUGCCAAGAGGCAUGAAGCCCAGUGAAGGAGGCAUGGCCUACGUGUCAGGUGGUCACAGUGAAGGAGGCGCGGCCUGCAUGUCAGGCGGUUGCAGUGAAGGAGGCGCGGUCUGCGCGUCAGGCGGUUGCGGUGAAGGAGGCGCGGCCACCGAACACUACUGAGCCACUGUAGUGUAUUGGAAUGGCACUGUAGUGAACUAUGAUUGUUCUUCCACUACACUGUUGAUCGUGUAUUGAGAUGCAUAACCCUGGAAGCAAAGAUACACACCCCUAAUGUCUCUUGGGAUAUUUUCACAACAACUGCCACAUGCUGAGGUGAAACCUGAACUGCAGAGUGUGUGAACAACACAUUUAACAAGCGGACACAGUCAGCGUACUAUCACUAGUCUACAGCCUGCAGUGUAAUGCUGAAAGACGAGGCCAUGUUUCACAAUCCCUGGAUCUGCAGUAAAAAUUCCAACACGCCCUCGUUUACUGUACGCUCGGCUCUCAGGGGGUCUGCAGAACCUCGCAUGUUUUCAGUUAAGCUGAACGUUAUCCUCAAAAAGCCUGGCUCUGACUGUCACCACCCCGUUCAUCCCUCUCUCCUCUCAGAUCUUCACCUCCAUCUGUGAUCCCUGCUCAGACCUCUUCUGCUCUGUAAUCUAUAAAAACAUGCGCUCAGCUAGCAGGCAGUGAUGUUCACCAUGCUUCACCAGCAUCAUGCAUCAGGAGACGCUGUGCUAAUUAUGCAUCGCCUUUUAUUCAUAUCCUCAGAAGGAUUUCCUAGCCUGAGCUCACAUGGACUGCAAGAUCUUCGAGCUAUUCUCGGUACUUAAGCAGAAAAUCGGUCUCACGGCAAGAAGUCUAGUAGAUCUGGUAUUUGCAGCACACGACGUAAACGACUGCAUGUUUUAUGCAUGUUGUAAAUAAAAAUUGGCUCAGUUUCCCAAAAGCAUCUUAAUCAUCUUUAAUUAUUAUUACCAACAAUGAGCAACACCCUGCUGCUGUUAGGCUCGUUAAUUAUUGACUACCACUAAGCUGCAGCAACAAGCUCCGCCCACACUUGGUUACUAUUGCUACAUAGGUCAAACUUUUGAAAAAUUAAGCUCAGGGUCACUGAGUUUUGACUACCACAAGACAUAACAGAACAGUUUUUAGGCCCUCAAUAGGAAACAAACCAACAAAAAUACUUACAACAAACAAAUGAUGACAAAAAGAAAACUCCACACAUCACAAUGCCAAUACUACAUGCUUGAGUUUGUUUAUUUCGGAUAACUUUUCUAUUUGAAAACGCUAUAAUAUAGCGAUUAGACAUGUCUUUAGACACCUGCAAAUCAGUUUUAUGUUCAACAACAUCGACUCUAUCUAUAAACAUAAAAUGCACGUGUCUUUCUUUAAUACGUUAAAAUUUGGUAUUCUCUGCAAAGUGCUGUGGUAUAAGAGGAAUAAAACACUUCGGGAUGUGCUGUAUCAGAAAAUAAUCAACUGCCGGGUGGGAACAGUAACUCCACUGGACGCUGAGCUGCAGUACAUCGCCCAGUCACUGACUAUGUUUACAUGGACAGCUGUAAUCUAAUUAUUAACCUUAUUCUCACUAAGACAAUAUUCUGAUUAAGGUGUUUACAUGAGUUGCUUUUAGAAUAUUCCUUUCGUGUUCCAGUUCAUAGAUGGAUUAACGGCACACGUCAUUACGUCCCCAAGCCACGCCGUCCGACGUUCCCUCUAGAAUUUCACGUAUCGACAUACAGUUCGUCUUUGUUAUGGGACCGUAUACAGUUUUGGGUGUUUUUAUUUUUAAUUUUACGAAAGCUUCAAGUGUGGUUAAUUAUUUGUCAUGCUGUACGUGCAGAUAGACGACUGCUUGAAGCCGUGGGCUGCGUCCCAAACCACAUACUUACCUGCUUAUAUAGUAGCUCAGAUACAUGUAUUUCACUUCCUACUAUAUAGUACACUAAAAUAUACAUGUAUUUCUCCUACUAUAUAGGUAAAUACACGGUUUGGGACGCAGCCGUGCUCUCAUUUUUGCCGUCAAACGGUUGAGCACUGCCGUGUGUGUACGUGUCCUGCCGCAAAAUGCGGUGAAAACUCCCACACGAGGUUAACAGUGUGAUUAAGGUGUGUACAUGUCUGUAAUACACUUCGAUAACGCGACUACAAUAGGAAUACUCCACAUGUCUUAAUUCCAUUUGUGUUUACUUUGAGUAUGACUUUAGUCGGAUUAAGGUCAUCAAUAAUCGCUGUUUAUAUGCUAGUUUCUUAAUCAGAGUAUCGUCUUAAUCGGGUUAAUAUCAAUAUUUGUCCAUGUAAAUGUGCUGAGUGAUUAUUUUCCUAAAGCAGCAUGCCCUGUCAUAAUGUAUUCCUUACACCUUACAUCUGACGAACACAUGCGCCUCCACCAGCAUUUGCUGAACCGUUUAACUGAUGAUUCUUCAUCAAAGGCAUUCCCCCCCCCCCCCUUUCCUAACCGAAUAUCCGUUCAUUAGCUGAUUCAUUACAAAGAAUUCGGAUAAUAAAAUUAAUCAAGUGUCACAUCCUAAGUCUGUGCAUUUGACUGUUUUUCCUGUUCUAAGAAACUGAAGAUGCGAGUCGGGAUGAGAACUGAGAGCCGACCAUUUAAGAAAUCGCCUCUAUACACCGUUCUUUUUUGAACACAGACGAACAGAGUUGAAAAUUCUGGAACAGAAACCAUGUGCGCGCGGUGUCCACAUGUACACGCACGCAAACACCUGGAAACAGUAACACAGCAGCCUACCUUUGGCUUAAGAUGCUCCCUCUGUGACCAGGUUAAAAUCCAGUGAGGUCAAGAGAAACCUGGGUGAGAAAGGACAGAGAGAAGAAACCAGUCAUAUUCAGGAACUAAAACAAAAUCAGUCGCGAGUGGGACGGAGCUGCAAAUCGAACUGCUUUUAGUCCACAUCGAUUCAGCCAAGUGUGGCAGAAAUGCUGUGUAAGCACACGCACACACAAAAAUCACAAGUAUGAGCUAUAGCAGCUGCGUGGGUGAGUGCAUGUGCCACCUUCGGAUUAAACACC